rnacentral:rRNA from 1 species
GGGGUGAGAAACCCCUCCGCCGUAAGUCCAAGGGUUCCUGGGGAAGGCUAAUCCGCCCAGGGUAAGUCGGGAGCUAAGGCGAGGCCGAGAGGCGUAGUCGAUGCACAACCGGUUGAUAUUCCGGUACUACCGUGUACGCGCCCAAACCAAGUUCCGGUUGCUAAGGGGCUGUUUCCUUCGGGAAACGAACCGACCCACUGGAAGGCGGUUAGCAAUGAGGGGACGCAGGAGGGUAGGUGAGCCCAGGCGAUGGUUGUCCUGGGGUAAGCGCGUAGGGAGAGGUCUAGGCAAAUCCGGCCCUCAUAAAUCCUGAGACGCAAUGCCGAGCCGUUUAAGGCGAAGUCACUAAUCCCAUGCUGCCAAGAAAAGCCUCUAGCGAGCUUGCACGGUACCCGUACCCCAAACCGACACAGGUGGACAGGUAGAGAAUACCAAGGCGAUCGGGAGAACUGUGGUUAAGGAACUCGGCAAAAAUCCCUCCGUAACUUCGGGAGAAGGAGGACCCCAUUAGGGUGAAGGACCAUGCGUCCGGAGCUCGAAGGGGUGGCACAGACCAGGG